rnacentral:lncRNA from 1 species
GUGUUAUCUUAAAUGCAUCUGAUACGGUGCAUUAGUUAUGGAUAUAUUCAAACUUCAUUUAUGAAAGGAAAUCUAUAGAGCAGAAAUUUGAGGUCAAAGACGCUAAAAUUGUUUAUAACAUUAAACAUUUCAACAUCGACGGUAAAGGAAUCUGUAAGGUAUUUAUCUUCUCAUUUUAAUUAUUUUGAUUUGGAAAUUUUUUUU